AGGCUCCCUCACAGACACACACUGACAUACAUACACACUCACUCUCUCACAGACACACACUGACAGACAUACACUCACUCACUCACUCACAGACACACACUGACAGAUAUACACACACUGACAGACAGGCACACACUCACUCAGACACACUCACAGAGACAUAUUUACAGACACACACUCACUCACAGACACACACUGACAGAU